rnacentral:rRNA from 1 species
UACGAAGGGAGCUAGCGUUGUUCGGAAUCACUGGGCGUAAAGCGCACGUAGGCGGAUGUGUCAGUCAGGGGUGAAAUCCCGGAGCUCAACUUCGGAACUGCCUUUGAUACAGCACGUCUUGAGUCCGAUAGAGGUGGGUGGAAUUCCUAGUGUAGAGGUGAAAUUCGUAGAUAUUAGGAAGAACACCGGUGGCGAAGGCGACUUCCUGGCCUGUUCUUGACGCUGAGGCGCGAAAGCUAGGGGAGCAAACGGG